rnacentral:rRNA from 1 species
CAGCAGCCGCGGUAAUGCGUAGGUGGCAAGCGUUGUCCGGAAUUAUUGGGCGUAAAGGGCUCGCAGGCGGUUUCUUAAGUCUGAUGUGAAAGCCCCCGGCUCAACCGGGGAGGGUCAUUGGAAACUGGGAAACUUGAGUGCAGAAGAGGAGAGUGGAAUUCCACGUGUAGCGGUGAAAUGCGUAGAGAUGUGGAGGAACACCAGUGGCGAAGGCGACUCUCUGGUCUGUAACUGACGCUGAGGAGCGAAAGCGUGGGGAGCGAACAGGAUUAGAUACCCCCGUAGUCCCUGUCUCUUAUAA